AGAAGAUGAAUAUUAUGAUCUUAGGUGCAUUGUAGUUGCAUUGCAUGUUAUUCAAAGUGCAGUGUCUCUCCAGUGCAACUUAGCGCAUAAUUUCACACCUCU